AAACCUCUCAGCUAUAAUUUUAUUAUUACGGCUGGUUAUGGGUUGCGGAGGACUAGCCCUUGCGGCUGCUCCCGCCUUAAACUUGCUGCACGACCGCAAGCUUAUGCUAGGUUAAUGAAGUGGUGUUUACAUAUAUUUCAGCGACCGUUCAUAGCUUGGUGGCGUUAAAUUUUAUGUCUGCCCUAACUGGUGACUUGAU
rnacentral:misc_RNA from 1 species